UCCCAAAUCCGCUGAGAUUUCCUCAGUCCU
rnacentral:piRNA from 1 species